rnacentral:piRNA from 1 species
UAUCAUGUGUUAGCCUCUGAUUUUGCC